UCCACCCCACUGCAUCGCUCACCCAGACAAUGGCAAGAAGCUCCGAAGUCACCUUCUGUCAUCUUGCCGCAUCCAACCCCCUCUGCACUACUCCCCUUAAGCCACAAAGCGAUUGGGUCCCCCCUCUCCUUCAAAUGCCCCAGUGGCUCCCGUUAUCCCCGGCGAGCUGGCCUGGACCCAGGCCCCAGCCUCCCCUCUCCCCACACCUGCCUCGUGUGCCUUAAACUCACGUGACUACUGUCAGCCUGACACCUCGCACCUCCGGCUGAGCACGCGUGUCCUUGAGCUGGGAAGCCACUCUGCCUUUUGCUCUCAGACUCAGCUCAAACAUCACCUCCUCUGAGAAGCCUUUCCUGACCAAGCCCCACCUCCGCAGCAUGCCCUUUUCUUACUCUGCUGUUGAACUCCCUGCUACCUGUCCUCUGUCUCCUCCCCGAGGGCAGCGCCUGCAUUUUAUUCAUCACUCUCGGUCCAGGUUCUAACACAGCGCAGGCUGUGUAAGUGUUUGUGGAAUGAAUGAAUGAACGGAUGGAAAUUAAAACUCUUUAAACAGGUCCAUAAAGGUGGUGUUACGCUCAAGGAAGAGGGACUCAUUACAUAUUUUAAAGGAACCUCAGGACUUUCUGGGAUUGGGAUGGCAACUAGUGUGGGGCAGAGUCUAGGAUGUCGAGUUAGGUCCCCAAGUUUACGGUAUCACAGCUUUACCUCAGCCAAGGUAUCUAACGUCUCCGAGCCGCAGCUUAUUCAUCCAUGCAAAUAAGAGGAGGAUACAGCAUCCGCACAAGGGCUAGGAGGGAAUGUGCCAAGUGUCCGGCGAGGUUGGCACAGCGUCCUCCUUCCUCAGUUAACAGGACUGAACCAAACAUAGACUCUGGGAAAGGAAAGGCACUGGCUGGGAGACAGGAGGGGCACAGCGGCACUCCUGGCCUCAAGGGGCAGACAGUCAACUUGAAGAGGCAGCGUAUCUUCACUGGGAAAGGCUGAUGAAUACUGACAAACGCACACACUGCUGUACCCGCUCUCCCCAUCAAGACAGGGAGCUCUUCCACCCUCCCAGAAAGAUCCCUCGAAGCCACUUUGUUUUUAAAUUAUUUGCAUCUGAAUGUUCUGAGUGGAGACUAUCAAGCCGAAUGUGUGGGAAGCAAGCCGAAUCAUUAAUCAUCUGCAAACACAGAGCAUUUCCCAGGUGCUGGGCAUCAGGCUAGAUGCUGCGACCACACAGAAGGGUAAGACGCAAUCCCUG